rnacentral:rRNA from 1 species
UACAGAGGUCCCAAGCGUUGUUCGGAUUCACUGGGCGUAAAGGGUGCGUAGGCGGUUUGACAAGUCUGAUGUGAAAUCCCGCAGCUUAACUGCGGAACUGCAUUGGAAACUGUUUGACUAGAGGAAUGGAGGGGAGACUGGAAUACUUGGUGUAGCAGUGAAAUGCGUAGAUAUCAAGUGGAGCACCAGUGGCGAAGGCGAGUCUCUGGACAUUUCCUGACGCUGAGGCACGAAAGCCAGGGGAGCAAACGGG